rnacentral:rRNA from 1 species
CAGCAGCCACGGUAAUACAGAGGGUGCGAGCGUUAAUCGGAUUUACUGGGCGUAAAGCGUGCGUAGGCGGCUUCUUAAGUCGGAUGUGAAAUCCCUGAGCUUAACUUAGGAAUUGCAUUCGAUACUGGGAAGCUAGAGUAUGGGAGAGGAUGGUAGAAUUCCAGGUGUAGCGGUGAAAUGCGUAGAGAUCUGGAGGAAUACCGAUGGCGAAGGCAGCCAUCUGGCCUAAUACUGACGCUGAGGUACGAAAGCAUGGGGAGCAAACAGGAUUAGAGACCCCCGUAGUCCCUGUCUCUUAUAC